UGGGUGAUUUCUGCAACAUCAUUCCACUGGUUGAAAUCAGUCAAACCUAUUUCUUGCUAGUCUACUUAUGACAUGUUCAUCUCCUUUUCAUUAUCCCAGAUGUUGAUUUUGUUCUGCCUACUUUUCUCUAGGGUUUCCUGAUUAAUGUAGUCUACAAUUUUUUGCUAACGCCCAUCUAGAUUAUGGAUGCUCAAAUCAAAUCUUAUGUUACGUUAUGUUUAGAAGUAACUGGCGAUAUUAACUAUGUUUUAUUUGUUCAGCACCUAGCAGUCAACCCUUCAAUUGGUUUUGGGUUCUAACUGGGUUUCAUUGUAUUUGGGUUUAUUUUAUGGAUCUAUUUUGUUCGGUGUGAAUCAGUUUGAAGUUACCAACUGGUCUACAUAGUGUUGCUUUGUACUAAUCAAACUGGAUUGGCUUUGUUCUACGCAUUGACCUAUAAUUUUUCUAAUUUGUAGUUUUCCAAUUAUGGUACACUAAGUUAACCUUCUUGUCGUUGAUCACUUAUUUUUUUUCCCAAUUGUUUGAGCUUAUGCUUUGUUACGUGCAAUUAGCAAGCAGACAAGUAAUUUAGAUACCUUUUCUUAUUCAGAACUAUGUUUCUCUGAAUUUUCUCAGGUGCCAAACAGUACCCAUGGAUAAUGCUUUGAUAUGUUUUAUACUUUUUAUAUCAUUUUAACAGAGUAACUUUUGAUGUUAGCCGUAUAUAGAUUUAUCUGUAUUUUCAAAGGUUAAUCUGUCACUAUUCUUUGCUAAAAUGUAACUUGUCAGUAUUUACAUGAACAAGGAAGUAUCUUUCAAUAUUCACAUGCAAAAGAAAAGUAAUUUGUAAAUGAUUUGAACAUUAUAGGAAGUAACUUCUCAAUUCAAUCUAGAGGGGAGUUCUUUUUGUGGCUAUUCAAAUGACAUGAUAACUAACCUUUCACUAAUGUUUCCUUCUGUUAAUUUUUUUUUGGAAAACUUGAAAAACUUAAAUUCCAGUCACUCACCAAUCUUCUCGUACUGCAGCCACAUCUUUCCAAUUGAUAUUUUAUAUCAUUUUUUUAAAAGUUUGUGCUUGCUCAUGACUAUUUUUUGUAGGUGCAGCUAGCACAUUUCCGUUCAAAAGUCUUUUUUUAGCUCCUCUUUGAUUUUGGUGCAUAUCGUGGAAGAGUUUCUUUAGACUUAGUGGUUGGCGCAUAUUCAUUAGCAAAGCUGGUUUUUAAGAAAGACACUAGAUAUGCACCAUGAACCCAACCCAUAAUUCCGUUGGCACUGCUGAAGAGCAGUCCACCAGCAAAAAUAAAGAUGAUAAGUUGAAGGAAAAGCUCAAGCCAAUUCCUAUCAAGAUGAAGAAAGCAAAUCAAGGCACUUCUGCUGUUGGUGAUGUACUGAUGUAAAAAAAACCAAGAAAAAGCUUCAGGUUUGUUUCUAUCACAUGUUGCCACUAUUUUAGUAGUGAGGUGCAAUGUGAACCUUCUGUCACUAAGAAGUCUGAUCAGAGCCUUUGCAGCAAUGGAAAACAACAGUUGAGCAGUAAAAAUAAAUUAAAGUUGACAAGUUGAAAUACAAUCUGAGGCCCCUGGCCACUAGGAUGAAGAGAGUAAAUGAAGAUGCUUCUUUUAUUUUCAGGAAAUAAUACUUUUUAAGCUGUAUCCUGAUAUGAUUGAUUACCAUCAUUUGUAUGUUAAAUAUACUGAUGUACCCAGCAGUGGCUGGAAGCAAAAUAUGAUGUGCAAACAAAUGUGUAGUGGGUUUUCUAUAUUACUUGGCAAGUUCCAUCAAGAAUUUCACCAGCCAACAACCUGACCAACCAUGAACUGAGUGAUAAUGAAGAAGAUAAGGAAGAAAAUGGUGACAUUAAGAUGACUGAGUAAUGUCUUCAGAUGAAGUAAAAGGAGAAAGGAAACUUUAUCCUCUCUUCAAGGAUUGCUGUGAAGAUUAAAAGGAUUUAGAUGCCCAAGAGACAGAAGUAGCUUUUUUUUUAGGGGAGGGGGAGGGGGACAUGUACAUGUAUGCAGUACUAUUUUCUUGUUACAGAUGCAAAAUUCCUUGCGGAGUUGAUUGCCAGGCUGUUGGUGCGAAAAGACACAUUCACAUAGUUCUAUAAGGUGUUUGUAGGAUAUGCAACACAUCCUCAUAAUGCACUAGUUAAUUUCUCUGAAUUUGAAUCACUUAUGUUGAAUUUUAUAAGAAUUAUUUUGUGUUGUUGAAUAGAAUCUGGACCUGUCUAUCUACAUUGGAUGGAUGCUUCUAUCUCCA